ensembl:lncRNA
GCUGAAGGGAGGAGAUCAUGGGGCAUGACCUUGGUGACUAUAUCUGUCCCAGGCCCAGUUUUUUCUGGCUGUUUCCCUUACUCUCUGCUGCCUGGCUGUCUGAGAUGAGCACCUACCCUCUACUAUGCCCCUCCGCCACAAAAGCAAUGAAGCCAAGUAACUGUAAACUGAAACCUCUGAAACUGAGCUGCAUGAAGUUGGAAGAGAGAGACAUGGAGUCUAGAAAGACAGAAGUAAAGGAAAGUUGAUGGAAUGGUAGACCACAGAUGGAAAGAGCAGGAGCUCUGAAUGAAAGCAGGGGAGGAGAGGACCUCACUGACCUGUGUAUCUACCCAGGAAUGUCAUGCACUGCUGAUGUCAUCUAGUGGGGUCACUUUCCUGGGCCCUGUACUCCAGCCUGAGGCAAAAAGAAAAACCCAAAGAGUAAAUUUCCUCAGGGGCAGUUUUGUCCACUGAUCAAUUUACAUUGAGACGAGUGCUUGGUCUGGAAUACACUGGGAGUUCAUUGAAUAUACUGCAUAAUUUUUUAGGAGGGAACGACAGGAUGAGAACAUAUAGGUGGUCAAAUGGGCGGCAAACUCUUAAGAGGAAGCGUUGGAGAGAAGUAAGCGUGUGUCCAACGGGUGACAGUAUCUGAUGGACAGCUCCCACCUCUAGGACCUGGAAGUGAGAAUAUUAACUCAGCCUACCCUAACUGGACAGCAAGCUCUGCAACAAGAAAACACUUGGAAAGCAGUACCCAGCCCGGCUCUUUUCAACUCCGCGCGGAAGGGCUCCCACCGGAACUUCUCCGGGUCCGCGCUCUCCCAUUGGUUGAAGGUUCGCCCGCUUCCACUUGCUUCCGGUUACGACCCCCGUAGGGCGGGGGCGUCCAAAGGAGUCACUUCCGCCUUGCCCACCCCCCCCG